GAUGGAGGUGAACUUAAAUCCAGACGGCAUCUGAAUGUUCGAGGAAAAAGUGCAACACUACCUUCCAUUACCGAGAAAGAUUGGGAUGAUAUCAAGUUUGGUGUUGAAAACAAAAUAGAUUACUAUGCAGUUUCUUUCGUUAAAGAUGCAAAAGUUGUCAAUGAAUUGAAGGGCUAUCUGCAAAGUUGUGGUGCUGAUAUACACGUGAUUGUGAAAAUUGAAAGUGCCGAUUCCAUCCCAAAUUUGCAUUCUAUAAUCACUGCAUCUGAUGGGGCGAUGGUAGCUAGAGGCGACCUUGGAGCUG
rnacentral:misc_RNA from 1 species